rnacentral:rRNA from 1 species
GCAUAUCAAUAAGCGGAGGAAAAGAAACUAACAAGGAUUCCCCUAGUAACGGCGAGUGAAGUGGGAAAAGCUCAACUUUGAAAUCUGGCACCUUCGGUGUCCGAAUUGUAGUCUCUAGAAGUGUUUUCCGUGCUGGCCCAUGUGUGAGUCUGUUGGAACACAGCGUCAUAGAGGGUGACAACCCCGUUCAUAACAUGGACCCCAGUGCUUUGUGAUACACUCUCGACGAGUCGAGUUGUUUGGGAAUGCAGCUCAAAUUGGGUGGUAAAUUCCAUCUAAAGCUAAAUAUUGGCGAGAGACCGAUAGCAAACAAGUACCGUGAGGGAAAGAUGAAAAGCACUUUGGAAAGAGAGUUAACAGUACGUGAAAUUGCUAAAAGGGAAACGAUUGAAGUCAGACGUGCGUGGUGCGGUUCAGCUCUGGUUCGCCAGAGUGUAUUCCGUGCCUUUGCAGGCCAACAUCGGUUUCACGAGGCGGAUAAAGGUUUGAGAAAUGUGGCACCUUCGGGUGUGUUAUAGUCUCUUGCUGAAUACGCCUCGAGGGACCGAGGAACGCAGCGCGCCGCAAGGCAAAGCCUCUGGGCUUUUCGCGCUUAGGAUGUUGGUGAAAUGGCUUUAAACGACCCGUCUUGAAACACGGACCAAGGAGUCUAACAUGCUUGCGAGUGUUUGGGUGUCAAACCCAUACGCGUAAUGAAAGUGAAUGCAGGUGGGAUCCUUUACCGGAGCACCAUCGACCGAACCGGAUGUUUACUGAAGGUUUUGAGUAAGAGCACGUAUGUUGGGACCCGAAAGAUGGUGAACUAUGCCUGAAUAGGGUGAAGCCAGAGGAAACUCUGGUGGAGGCUCGUAGCGGUUCUGACGUGCAAAUCGAUCGUCAAAUUUGGGUAUAGGGGCGAAAGACUAAUCGAACCAUCUAGUAGCUGGUUCCUGCCGA